rnacentral:sRNA from 1 species
AUUGUAGCGCCCUCUGGUGGAGUAGGGGUGUGGUUACUUGAUGGGGAGGUCGACGAGGAUCCAGCAGACCCGUACCCCGUGGAAUUCAUGGUCAUCUUCAGCGCCUCCGAUUGGCUUUGAAUCCAUUGCUGACGCUUCCUUUGCUCUCCAAAAUCGUUAUCCGGUUCAGGGGACGCCUUCCUCUUCUUAGACUGUCCCUCAAAAGAUCCAUGGGACCCCUGACUUCGGGUGUGUGCAAGAGGAACAUGUGGCCGUGUGUUCGGUGUUGGCAAGGGUGGUAAACUUGGGUUGUGGUAGGGAGAUGGAAUUAUUUCAGGUUUAACAGCUUCUUUGAAAAACCUUACAGUUUCUGAUAAAAGCUCACUUAAAACUUUCCAGUCAUUCGAAUUAUGCUUCAUUUCGUACUCCAAAUACUUGUAACCAGAUGAGAGCCCUUUGCCCACAUCUUUCAUGCUGUCUACGUGCAUUUGUUUUACAACACUUGAUGCACUGUUGUAAAUAUUACCUGAACCAAGAGGGUACUCCAUGAACACCUUCAACUCAAAAUCGACACCAUUUUUCGAAGUUGAAUCAAAUGCAAAGACACGUCCAACAAAAUGAUAGUCUUUCUUGAAUCGAAUUUCAAACGGAACUGCUGACGACAAGGCUGCAAUUGUUUCGCGGACAAUUUGUGGACGCUUCGCCAUAUCUUCCGGCGAAGUAAAUUUGAAAAUGUUAUCCUCAUGAUGGUUGCCUGAAGCAUCAUCAUCAUCAUGGUCCGCGCUACGUUUCUUUGUAUGCUGCAGACUAUGACCGCCCAUUGAAGCAACGUUUGGGUUGGGUACGUACCCUGGUCUGCCCUGGGGGUGUGCGCAAAACCUGGCAUUGUGGUCCGGAAGAUGGUGUAUGGGAAACACCGCUGACACUGCUCGAGCCGACGACAUCGGCAUGUUGGACGCGCGGUGGUGCUCUUGCAUUUGAUCCUCGACCCGCCCCGGGACACCACCGUUAGAAUGGUUCUGUGGCGGCGUAUUAUAGUCACUCAUCAUGGCUCUAGACCGGCUGUCGUAACGCUCGAGGGGCGGGUGGCCACGUGGGUGGUCAAUGGACCCAUGCUGGUCAAUGGCAGUCCUCUGGGGAGGCAGUCCGUGGUGUUUCACUGACUGGCGACUCUCGUGGAAUCCAUGCGACCUCUUCAUACUCCGUGCACUCUCCAGUACCAUUUCUAUCCUAUCUGCACCUUCAUAGUUGACACACCCACGACAUACCGGCUCGGAAAAGUCGUGCAGCAUUGCCCAUGGCAUGCGGGGUAAAUCGCACAAGUAACAUUGUUGUCUCUGCGUACGGUGAGGCAUUGACAUUGUUUUAAUCUUUUUUAGUUCACCGAAGAAUCACCAUGUAUUAUCUCUCACAACGUUUUCUUCGUACGUCAACACUCUAACGCAUCGUACACACGAAUGUCAACAAAACCGCCAUCCACUUGAAAAUCAACAAUACAGAACAUUCUUGCGCAUGCGGAUUUCCCAAUACUUAAAACUCAAUCAUCCUUCACGUAUGGCUUGCACAGUCGACAGUUAUUCUGCCGAUAGACACAUUAUACUUUUGCACAAUGCGCUGUUCACCGGAAAAACCCAUCCAUAUUGCCUCUGCACGCAACAGUAAUUGGAUUCCAAAUGUACUAGCGAGGAGAUCCGAUGGAGACAUCAGGAAAAAAAAAUAAUAGAGUGUCACGCAAACCUAAGAGAAUUCUCGGCUAUUCAUUCAUCUCUUGGUGACCAAAGACCGCAUAAUUAUCAAUCGGCUCUGGCGUAUUUUGUUAUGAUAUGCUUUAAAUCAAACUGACACGUCUUCACCAAAAGGUGGCUUUUCUUUAAACUGCUCGAGACAAAGAAUUCCCUUCCUAAACAACGGGUCAACACGCGAUAACUGCUGUAUACUAUACCAGCAAUAACAUGUCCCUGGAUAAAAUUUACAUGCAGUAAUUGGUGUAUUCUUGAGUUAUAUGCUUCGGCAUGAAAAUCGGAAAAAGUUGUGUUGAUAAAAUGGAGGUUGUUCGUGCCGUAAACGUAUUUCCUUGCUAAGAAUUAAUUAAAUCGCGUUCAUUUGCGUGUCUUUAUGUCAUUUACUGUUCGUGACGGGCACGGGGUUUCCAGAUUUUCCGAUAUGAACCUUGAGCACAGACGGGCACAUCAAUAGACCUCGCAUUAAGCCGGAGAAGGGGGUCCAUAUCUUGUAAAAAGAAACUGUAUUCAAAACAGAAAAUCAAUUGUGGAAAAAAAAAAUCUAUUGAAACGGUGUGAGAACUAUGGCGCAUGUGUCCCAAUUUUCUUCUCGCCAUGGAAACAAAUCGUUCAAUGUUCAAAAUGACGUCACAACCCUAGAUAAUUGGUACUUAGCCAGUAGUUCUAUUUUCAUCAACCAUCGAUUUCCGCUGAGUCUAAGUUGAUUUUUUGCAAGUUACACCGUUGCAUCUCCUGUGCAAUAUAUUACAGAAGUCGCAAAUUUAAUUAAAUUCGAGCGAAUCAGACAAGGUCAUGGAAAUCAGUGAAGGUCACACUUUGUUUUCUCUUGCUCGUUGUUUGAUUGCUGCUGGUAAAAGAAACUGUCUACUAAUAUAUGUAUGUGGGUCUAUUGUUUUAGCGAUCGUUGAGGAGGCAAUGACGUCACAGCGUCCUAAGAAAGCUUUGCAGUACUGAGGGAGACCAAUAAAAUCCAUCUUAACCUUUACUUUUUAUUACCCUUGUCUUCUUCAUUAAUAAUAAAUACAUAAUACUU